rnacentral:rRNA from 1 species
GGAAUCUUGCACAAUGGAGGAAACUCUGAUGCAGCGAUGCCGCGUGAGUGAAGAAGGCCUUUGGGUUGUAAAGCUCUUUUGUAGGGGAAGAUAAUGACUGUACCCUAAGAAUAAGGUCCGGCUAACUUCGUGCCAGCAGCCGCGGUAAUACGAAGGGACCUAGCGUAGUUCGGAAUUACUGGGCGUAAAGUGCGCGUAGGCCGUUGAGUUAGUUAAUUGUGAAAUCCCAAAGCUUAACUUGGGAACUGCAAUUACAACUGCUCGACUAGAGUUUGAUAGAGGAAAGCGGAAUACAUAGUGUAGAGGUGAAAUUCGUAGAUAUUAUGUAGAACACCAGUUGCGAAGGCGGCUUUCUGGAUCAACACUGACGCUGAGGCGCGAAAGUAUGGGUAGCAAAGAGGAUUAGAUACCCUCGUAGUCCAUACCAUAAACGAUGAUUGCUAGAUGUUGGAAAUUUAUUUUCAGUAUCGCAGCUAACGCAUUAAGCAAUCCGCCUGGGGAGUACGACCGCAAGGUUAAAACUCAAAUGAAUUGACGG